rnacentral:tRNA from 1 species
AAGGCUUUAGCUUAAUUAAAGUAUUUGUUUUGCAUGCAAAAGAUGUGGGUUAAACACCUGUAGGUCUUA